CCUACGGGAGGCAGCAGUAGGGAAUAUUGCGCAAUGGGCGAAACCCUGAAGCAGCAACGCCGCGUGGAGGAUGAAGGUCUUCGGAUCGUAAACCCCUUUCGUUAGAGAAGAUAAUGACGGUAUCUAACGAAUAAGCACCGGCCAACACCGGGCCAGCAGACGCGGUAAUACGGAGGGUGCAAGCGUUACUCGGAAUCACUGGGCGUAAAGAUCGCGUAGGCGGGAUAGCAAGUCAAGUGUGAAAUCCCAGGGCUCAACCAAGGAACUGCAUUUGAAACUGGUAUUCUAGAGUGUGUGAGAGGAUAGUGGAAUUACUGGUGUAGGGGUAAAAUCCGUAGAGAUCAAGAGGAAUACUCAUUGCGAAGGCGACCAUCUAGAACAUAACUGACGCUGAUGCGCGAAAGCGUGGGUAGCAAACAGGAUUAGAUACCCUUGUAGUC
rnacentral:rRNA from 1 species